AAAGCGGGAAGACAGAUAUUUUUCUGACUCGGAAGUAUAUCUUGAGUCUUGUCAACAUGAUUUUCAAAGCUAGUAGGGGAUUACUAAGAAUCAUACACCCAUGUCAAGAGUUAAUAAGUCUUAUGUCAUCUACCCAGAGGUGGAGAAAGGUUGUGCAACAUGGGUUGGUUCCAAAAUUUUCUCCGCUCAUCUUACCUGCCCGGGGACUAAAAAAACAUGUGAUACAGUUUAGAAAGGCACCACUGGACUACCCAACGGUGACUGAAUCUGAAAACUGGAGACGGAAGAUGCGCACAUGUUUCAGGUGUUUUGAUGUAAACGGUGCCGGCUACAUUACAAAAGAAGACUUCGUGAUAAGUGCAAAACGCAUUGCCGACUGAUGAGAGAGCAGAGCAUAUGCUGAAUCAGCGUAUUGCUAUGUGGAAUUCAAUUUCAAAAAGGAAGGAGGGUGCUUCCAAGAUAUCAGAGGAAGAAUAUCUUAAAUCGGCCCCAAU